AUCAAAUGAUAUUUCGUACAUAAGUUCCGAAAAACUCAUUGGUACGAGCCAGGAUUUGAACCCACGACCUCCGGAUUGAAAGUCGGGCGUCAUAUCCACUCGGCCACCACUGCUUCCUUAAUAUAAUAAUAAUAAUAUUCUUUAUUGUGCACAAUGAAAACAUGAUUAAAUACAGCAAAUUAACAUUAAUAAAAAACUAAGCAACAACAGGCGGUCUUAUCGCUAAAGAGCGAUCUCUUCCAGACAACCUUCAGGUAGUAGAAAUUAUCGAAGGGAAGAAAUAAGUAUAAGGGUAGCAAAAAUAAAUGAAG